rnacentral:lncRNA from 1 species
GCCUCCUCCCGCGUCUUGGCCCGCAAGAGUCCCGGGGGUCCGCCCGCAGCUGGCUAAGCGCUAGCCCGGCCUGUGGCGAGUCUGCAGAGCUCGCCCGGAAGUAGCGUUGCGCGCGCAGAGGAUGGGCGCUGAGCAGCACACAGCCCGCGGCGGGGUCUCAGGAUCCGCGGCGCUGCCCGGGGCCGGGGGAAGGAAGCCAGCCGAGGAGACGCACGUGCCCUGAGUCCGGGAGCGGGGAGCCUCUUCAUCUCUCCAUCCUCCCUCCGCGCGCGCCCUCAGCCGUCCUCGUCCGCUCACCAUGCACCUCCCCUCCAAGAAAGGGCCACAUGCGUGCCAGGGACGCGAGCCCCGGCCACAGGGACAUAGCAGCCUAGAAGGUUGAAGAAAAUGUAUUUUAUUCAAGAAAACAUGUAAAGAAAAUAUAGCAGCCAGGCGCGGUGGCUCAUGCCUGUAAUCCCAGCACUUUGGGAGGCCAAGGCAGGUGGAUCACCUGAGGUCAGGAGUUCAAGACCAGCCUGGCCAACAUGGUGAAACCCCGUCUCUAAAAUUAAAGUACAAAAAUUAGCUGGGCUAAUUUUACAGAGAAGGAAAGACAAAGCUCACUGCAGACUUUUCAGCAGGAGGGCAGCGUUCGUGGCUUAGAAAGACCAGUCUGCUGCCGGUGAAGAGCAGGGUGCUUCAGAGUGGCUCCCAGAGAGAAAGGGGCAGCACACUCUUCCACAUGCCCAUUGUGCUCCCCAGGAGAAUGUGUGGCAGAGACUGAGGCUGGCCACAGGAAUUACACAUACAGUGUAAAAUUUGCAAAGCAAGAAGUAUAGCUGUGCUCAAAAAUAGGUCGAAGCCGGGCGCCGUGGCUCAUGCCUAUAAUCCCGGCACUUUGGGAGGCCAAGGCAGACGGAUUUCUUGAGGUUAGGAAUUUGAGACCAGCCUGGCCAGCAUGGUGAAGCCCCAUCUCUACUAAAAUUCAAAAAAUAAAAACAAAAACAAAAACAAAACUGGUGGCUGGGCGUGGUUGCUCACGCCUGUAAUCCCAGCACUUUGGGAGGCCGAUGCAGGUGGAUCACUUGAGGUCAGGAGUCCGAGACUAUCCUGACCAACCUGGUGAAACCCCGUCUCUAAUAAAAAUACAAAAAUAAGCCAGGCAUGGUGGCAGGCGCCUGUAAUCCCAGCUACUUGGGAGGCUGAGGCAGGAUAAUCGCUCAAACCCGGGAGGUGAAGGUUGCAGUGAGCUGAGAUCGCGCCAUUGCACUCCAGCCUGGGAGACACAGCGGGACUCUAUCAAAAAAACAAAACAAAACAAAACAAAAGUGAUAUCUCUGUGAGCCAGAAAUGAAGAGAAAUGCAAAGUGCUGAGUGGGCCUGCAACUGCAAAGCUGCUGGGCCUGGGUCACCCACGCUUGUAAAAGAAGCACGCAGCCAGGGGCGCACCAGUGGUCCCAGCUACUUGGGGAGGCCGAGGUGGGAGGAAUCACUUGAGCCCAGGAGUGCAAGACCAGCUGGAGCAACAUGGUGUGAACCUGUCUCAAAAAAAUAAAAAUAAAGAAAAAUUUUAAAAACCCAUGCAGCCAAAGAGGGAUGUCCAGACAGCCUUAUGUCCAGGACCUGAGCAAACCAGUCCCUGACUUAGAGUGCAGAUGGGACCUGGGGCAUUUGCACCACCACGCAGGGCUGUAGGACUCAAUACAACACGUGUGACGGAGAUGUAGCUGUCCACCCAGCGCCCCCACCCUCCUCGGUACUAAGUGGACAUGUGGGUGUCCAGCUCUACUACAUUUCCCAGCUUCCCUUGGAGUUGGGAGCUGCCAUGUGGCCAGGUUCUCGCCCAUGGAACAUGAGGGGAGGUGACAUGCAUGGCUUCUGAGCCUGGACCAUCAUUCCUCCCCGGGGCUGCCUCCUACCGUGGACCAGCUUCCUAGGCUGCUGCAACACAUUAUGACAGACUCAGUGCCUCAAAACAAUGCAAAUAUAUGCUCUUCAGCUCUGGAAGCCAGAGUCUGAAAUCAGUUUCAUGGGCUAAAGUCAAGGUGUCAGUGGGGCUUGUUCCUUUUGGAGACUCUAGGGGAGGAACCAUCUGUGGCCUUUCUAGCUUCUUGCAUCCCUCAGACCCAUGCAUUCAUCUUCACACCUGUUUUCUCUCUGUACGGAUAUGUCUCUUUGCCUCCCUAUUACAAGAACAUUUGGGAUCCCAUUUCAGACCCACCCAGAAUAUCCUCCCAUCUCAAGAUCCUUAAUGUCAUGACAUCUGCUAACUCCUUUUUGCCAUGUAAAGCAACAUCACAUGUUCUGACUAUUAGGAUGCAGACAUAUUUGGAGGCCAUUAUUCAGCCUACUACAGGUGACAGGUACAACCUUGGAAGCCCUGUUUUGAGGAUGGCAGAGCCCACCAGCCUGCAUCCCUCCAAGACUGCGUGGAACAGAUCUUCCUUACUAUCCCUUUCUCCUCCUCUGCCUGACCUGGACAUACACCCUGCCCUGUUACGUGAAAGCAAAAGAAAAUCCUGUUGUGUUUAAGAUAUUGCGUUUGGAGUCCAUUUGUUCCAGAUGUUUAGCCCACCCUAAUACAGAGAGGUUGAGGCAACUGCAGAACAGGGAGACAGACAGCGUCACACACAGUGAGGAAGAGAGAAAAUGAAACAUUUCCUAAUUAAAAUGAACCUAGAAUGUAAGUUCCAAAGGGAUUGUAAAAAUGAAUACUAAAUAAGAAAGCCAAAGGCCAGGCACAGUGACUCAUGCCUAUAAUCCAGCACCUUGGGAGGCCGAGGCAGGUGGAUUGCUUGAGCUCAGGAGUUCAAGACCAGCCUGGGCAACAUAGUGAAGACCCUGUGUCUACAAAACUUUAAAAAAAUUAGCUGGGUGUGGUGGCCUGUGCCUACAGUCCCAGCUACUUGGAAGACUGAGGCAAGAGGAUCAGCUGAGCCCAGGAGGUCAAGGCUGCCAAUGAACCAUGAUUUCGCCACUGCACUCCAGCAUGAAUGAUAGAGGGAGACCCUGUCUCAAAAUAUAAAAUAAAUAAGAAAGCCAAUACUGUGAACAAUGGGAACAUGAAUUAUUAAAGUUGAAUUUUAUAUUGUAGAACAUGAGUAUGAUUUUAAAAUUAUGUUUAGAACCAGGCCAUGUGGCUCAUGCCUGUAGUCCCUGCUACUCAGAAGGCUGAGGUGGGAGGAUCCCUUAGGCCCAGGUGUUAGGAGUUCACGGGUACAGUGAGCUAUAAUCAUGCCAGUGCACUCCAGCUUGGGUGACAGAGUGACUCUGAUUUAAAAAAAAUGGGAAUGGGACUGG